GGCCACGGUGUGCCCACCGGCGCCGCGGAAGCCGACGAGGCCAUUAGCGCUCAACAGCAAGAGAAAGCGUUGCUGCCUGCAGCGCGUCUUCUCCCCCAUGCCGCUCGACCUCUCCACGGUGCAGUGUUCGUGCUGCGUGGCCCCGCGGACAGGUCGUCGUUGCCGCCGCCUAGGGCCGCCAAGAUCCGCCUGCAUGUCGUGGCCUGAAGUGCUGUGUCGUCGGUCGCCGGCUCGUUGGAGUCCAUACAACUAGCCCACAGGGAUUGGGGAGAUUUGGCCUCAUGCAAGGGGAGAGAUCAGCGAAGAUGCGUGAGGGCGAAAAGAUUAGAGAAACUUGUUGGAGAUGUUGGAGGGGAAAAAAAAUCCGUGCGAACCGACCGCAACAAGCAGUGUGCGGGAAUUAGUCUGGAUUGCUUUCGCGUGGCGGUUAGAGUUGUACCCUGUCUCUCUAUGUAAUGGGCCUAGAUCUAGAUACCCUUAAUAUAAAUGUAUUUCCCAACCCAGUUAGGGUUAGAAUUUUCCCUCCAAUAUGGUAUCAAAGUUUUCAGCCUCCUCCCUGGCCGCCGCCCUCCCCUAGCCGCCGGCUGCCCACCCUUCCAACUGUCGGUGCCCUUCCGGCCGCGCUCCUCCCCCUCUGCUCCCUCUCGUCGCGCUGGUUCGCGCAGGUCCGCAGCCACCGGGGCGCCGACUCGCCGGUGCGGCGCCGCCCAGGUUGAAGCUCUAUGGCCGGAUCCCCGCCUCCCUCGCGCGGCUCGACCAGCUCAAGUCGCUCACCCUCGCGUGGCUCAACCAGCUCACCGGCGUGAUUCCCAUCGAGCUUGCCACCUGCCGCUUCCUCAACUCGCUCAGGCUCUCAACCAGCUCGAUGGCCUGAUCCCGCCCUAGCUCGACGGUGCUCACGGCCGGCAUGCGGCAGCUCGACCCACCCCCAUCUCCUGCUGCUCGCGAUCUCCACCGCCCGGAAUUCGAACCAGGCCACCCACAGACCAGUCCACUACAGGCUGUCGGCCUCCGUUCGCUCCUCUGCGCCAGUCAUCGCGCCCCUGCGUUGCCUGCUGCCGCCCACACCCUCGGCGGCCAUGGACGCGCACGCGAUGGACUGCACCAUCGUCGGCGCAGCCGCACCCCUUGCCCCUACUGGUGCAGCCGCGCGCCCAGCUACGCCCUUGCCCGCCAACCUCUCCUCGCCCAGCGCUGCCACCGCCGGCGGCCUUGUCCCCUCCGGGCUUGGCCUACCGGGCUACCCGGCGUCCCUUGACGCCCUUACCGGCCUUCUAUCACUGACCCACUUCCCCAGGAAGCCUCCUCCAGGGUUCUCCACCACCCGUCCACUCGUUGUCGACGCCACCUGGACUUCCGUGGUGCCCCAAUCUUAUCGGACGGUUGGCGCAAGCACAGCUUGGCUCGAUUCCGUUCACAACUCCAUAUUUCUCUUGUUUAGAAACGACUCCGUCGCCAUCGUCUAUCAGAUUGGAGACUCUUUGAUCCUGCGUCGCCGCUCGUGCGAUUCCAAUUCAAGCGACUCCUUCGAUCGUCGUCGUCGUGGUGGUGAGGCCCGCAGUCCACCGUAAAAAUGCAUGUUCCUGUUUAAUCAUCUACUAAUCUUCUUAGCCCUAGUCGUCAUGGAGGUUGAUUUAUCUCUCGGUGAGGACGCUGCUCCGGUUGAAGAUCGUGAUGUCGUCGGAUAUGAGGAUGUUGAUUUCAACACACAGUCUCGUACCAUGGAAUGUGUAGAUGCAGGGAUUCAUGCAACUCAUGAAGGGGAUCACACAGCUCAAGUGGCUAAUAAAUUUUUGCAUAUUUCAAUCGCUCCUAAAGUUGGAAUGGCUUUUGAAUCUGGGGACAAUGCUUAUGAGAUGUGUAACAACUAUGCUAGCAAAAUUGGGUUCAGCAUUAGAAAGAGCUCCUCAAAGCUACGACCAGAUGGUACUAUAUAUCAUAAAUAUAUAGUUUGCAGUGCCGAAGGACAUGAAAAAACUUAGUCAUCAAAAGGCACGACGGACGGGAUGUGGUGCUUCGCAUUCAGCUUGUUGUCAACAGAGAGGGAAUUUAGACAGUCAAUAAGGUUGUACUUGAGCAUAAUCAUUAUCUUGCUAGUCCAAAUAAGAAGAAAAAUCUAAGAUCCCAACGACAUGUCUCAGAAGCAGAUAUAAAGCUAAUAGGCCAGAUACAGGAAGCUAGAAUGAGGCCUGCCCAAGUGUAUGAGUUCAUGAAAGAGUUCUAUGGAGGAGCCGACAAAGUGCCAUACUCAAAGAUGGAUUGCAAUAAUGAGAUUGGUCAUGAACGCAAGAAGUACUUAGAAUCCAAUGACGCACAAACACUAUGUAACUACUUGAAGAAUAAGCAGCGUGAGGAUCCAACAUUUUUCUAUGCAGUUGAUAUAGAUCAGGAAGAUGGACCCGAUAAAGGUCAAAUAGCUAAUUUCUUUUGGGUAGAUGGCCAAUCUAUUAUGGAUUAUGCAUGUCUUGGUGAUGGUGUGUCAUUCGACACCACAUUUCAAACUAAUAAGUUUGAAAUGCCUUUUGCUCCAAUCCUUGGUACCAAUCAUCACAAGCAAACCAUACUUUUUGGAGUUGUGUUGCUAUUUGAUGAAACAAUUCCAUCAUUUGUAUGGCUAUUUGAAAGUUUUUUAACAGUAAUGUCUGGUAAGCACCCAAGCACAAUUUUCACUGAUCAAGACGCAGCCAUGGCAGGUGCUAUUGCUUAUGCAUUUCCAACACAAGCCAUUGUCUUUGUAUAUGGCAUAUUUAUAUUAAUGAUGCUAAACAUCUCAUACAUGUAAUUAGUAAGCAUAAGGAGCUUCUGCCUGCUUUUAAGAGUUAUGUCUAUGAGGAUAGAUCAGAAUAUUACUUCAAUAAAAGUGGCAUGAUUUGUGCGGGAGUACGACCUCGAGGACAAUGACUAGAUGGCGAACCUUUAUAACUUGAGGGGGAAAUGGGCUAUUAUCUACCGUGACUCUUUUAUAGCCGACAUAACCUCUACUCAAAGGAGCGAAGGCAUGAAUAAUGUCUUCAAGAAAAGGUUUCGUAGGAAACUAGGUCUUUCGGAACUCCUUGUAGAUUGUGAGAAGGUGUGCGGCAAUCUUCGUGAAAACGAGGUGAAUGAAGAUUUCCAUUCACGUCGUAAGAUCCUAGUUACUUACAACCCAAAUUUACCUAUGUUGAAGACUGCAGCUGAAUUAUAUACAAGGAGAAUGUACUUGGAGUUUGAGACAGAAUUUAAAGAUCAAUUUGUAUUAACUGGUCAAUUGUUAAAGAUUGAGGGAUUGAUCUUGACAUAUAUGGUUACACAUAUACAAUUAGACUAAGGGGCAACAGUUCUGUUCAACAUUGAAAUAUGACCAUCACAUGUUCUUGCAGAAAGUAUGAUUUUAUAGGUAUAUUAUGCAAGCACGCCCUCAAAGUCUUCAACAAAAAGGAUAUUUUUUAUUUGCCAUCGAAAUAUAUACUCAACAGAUGGACUAAAUAUGCGAAAAGCAGAUUUUUUGUUGAGAAACAUGGCCUCGAGAAGGAGAAUUUGACAACUCAAGUUGCACGUAUCUCACGAAAGGCGACAUCUAUUGCAUUGAAGUGUUCUUUAUCUAAAGAGCUUCUUGAUGAUUUGGAGAACGCCAUAGAUAAGCUAGACUUGGAUGCAAAUAACUCUAUAUUGAAGGUGCAAGAAAAAGAUAAUGAAGUGCCUCCAGUUUCAG